rnacentral:rRNA from 1 species
GUCGAGGGGUAAAUGGUAGCAAUACUAUGAGACCGGCGGACGGGUGCGUAACGCGUAUGCAACAUACCUUGUGCAGGGGGAUAGCCCGUGGAAACGCGGAUUAAUAUUCCAUAGUCCAGCUAUAUCGCAUGGUAUAGUUGGUAAAGAUUUAUCGGCACAAGUUUGGCAUGCGUCUGAUCAGCUUGUUGGUAGGGUAACGGCCUACCAAGGCUACGAUCAGUAGGGGUUCUGAGAGGAUUAACCCCCACACUGGUACUGAGACACGGACCAGACUCCUACGGGAGGCAGCAGUGAGGAAUAUUGGUCAAUGGGCGGAAGCCUGAACCAGCCAUCCCGCGUGAAGGAAGACAGCCUUACGGGUUGUAAACUUCUUUUCUGUCAGAAGAAUAAGCUUGUCGAGACGAGUGAUGCCGGUAUGACAGGAAUAAGCAUCGGCUAACUCCGUGCCAGCAGCCGCGGUAAUACGGAGGAUGCAAGCGUUAUCCGGAUUUAUUGGGUUUAAAGGGUGCGCAGGUUGUUUGAUAAGUCAGUGGUGGAAGUCUGUCGCUUAACGGUAGGAUUGCCAUUGAUACUGUUGGACUUGAAUAUGGAUGAGGUAGGCGGAAUGUGUAGUGUAGCGGUGAAAUGCAUAGAUAUUACACAGAACACCGAUUGCGAA